AACGAAAAAAAAAAAAAAAAAAGUAAAGCCCAAAAUCAGAACCUAUCGGUCAACUCAACUCUGCAAUAUAGGAACCUUCCUCUUCCCUUUCCUCUUCCUGCAAUUUGCAACUCCAAUAAAACUCCAUCCUCUAAUUCAUUUUGUGUUCUGCACCCUUUCUUUAAUGGAAAACACCGAUGGAAUCUCCAAUCAAGUCUCCAAUAACACGGCCUACGCUCGUAAUGGAAAGAUAAUGCUUUGUUCAGGAAUCAUCCUCUUCACAAUCGUCGUCUUCAUAGUUUGUUUCCACAGUUAUGCUCGUUGGAUAUUCAAACACCGCCAACGCCGUCGCCACCUCCUCUCUCUCUCCGUCACACCCACCGCCGCUGGUGCAGCAGACAAAGCGCUUGACCCGUCUAUUUUGGGAACUCUUCCUACUUUUGUUUACAGUUCGAAAACGCAGGAUUCAGUUCUCCAAUGCGCCGUUUGCUUAUCGGAAUUCCAAGAAGGUGAGAAAGGGCGACUAUUGCCCAAGUGUAGUCACACCUUUCAUGUUUGCUGUCUCGACAUUUGGUUUCACGCUCACUCUAACUGUCCGCUCUGUAGAGCCCCGGUUCAAUCCGACAAAGUUCCUGAAACAAUUGCCGAAACUGUGGUACCGGUGAUUGAAGAGGCAGGUUUACAGCCUGAAUCGCGGCAGAAGAAAGAAGAUGAGAGGGCUUGCUCUGCUUCUUCGUCGCCAGCGAGUUUAUGCCCUCUGGAAUGCCAGAGGAAGUCAUCCUGUGGAGCUACCCACAGCCACGGGUGACGAAAGGCUUAGGGGUUUGGUGGGCAUGGGCUUGGGUUCUCCGGUUGGCCCUGUCCCUCAUUUGUAGCGACUGAGGAGCUCAUACAAUACAAGUAGAAACCUAGUUUGUUGGGCUGGGCCAUAUUGCGUGUAGAUAAGUUAUGUUCUAGCCCACUGGGCACCCUAACUGUUUCUUUCCAAUUAACUUAAAAUUUUCUGUAAUUGAUGGAAGAUAAAAGAAUUUGGUGUAUAUGAGCAAAUGAAGAAAAAUCUUGAAAAUCCGG
rnacentral:misc_RNA from 1 species